rnacentral:rRNA from 1 species
UCAGGAUGAACGCCAGCGGGAGGCUUAACACAUGCAAGUCGAGGGGCAUCACGAGGUAGCAAUACUUUGGUGGCGACCGGCGCACGGGUGAGUAACGCGUAUGCAACCUACCCUGUACAGGGGGAUAGCCCGGAGAAAUUCGGAUUAAUACCCCAUAAAGAUAUGAGAAGGCAUCUUUUUAUAUUUAAAGUUUCGACGGUACGGGAUGGGCAUGCGUGACAUUAGCUAGUUGGUAAGGUAACGGCUUACCAAGGCUACGAUGUCUAGGGGUCCUGAGAGGGUGAUCCCCCACACUGGUACUGAGACACGGACCAGACUCUACGGGAGGCAGCAGUGAGGAAUAUUGGUCAAUGGGCGUAAGCCUGAACCAGCCAUCCCGCGUGCAGGAAGACGGCGCUAUGCGUUGUAAACUGCUUUUCCAGGGAAAGAAAAUUCUGUACGUGUACGGAACUGACGGUACCCUGGGAAUAAGCAUCGGCUAACUCCGUGCCAGCAGCCGCGGUAAUACGGAGGAUGCGAGCGUCAUCCGGAUUUAUUGGGUUUAAAGGGUGCGUAGGCGGAUUGAUAAGUCAGUGGUGAAAACCUUCAGCUUAACUGGAGACUUGCCAUUGAUACUGUUAGUCUUGAGUACGGUCAAGGUAGGCGGAAUGUGUAAUGUAGCGGUGAAAUGCUUAGAUAUUACACAGAACACCGAUUGCGAAGGCMGCUUACUGGCCA